AAUUAUCAACCCUUGUUAACUUUUUAGUUAGUAAGUGGAUUGGAAGUGGGGGCAUGUUGGUUUCUUCAUUGAAAUGAACUCCCCUGAAAUGCAUUAGCUGGUUGCCUUGUGCAAACAUGUCUAUUGGUGUGAUAAUUAUCUACGCCGUGGGCUAUUUGCCGUUUAUAGCACUGCUUAUAAUCGUCUGUUCAUUCAGACAAUACAUGACA
rnacentral:misc_RNA from 1 species